UGGGGAAUAUUGCACAAUGGGGGAAACCCUGAUGCAGCGACGCCGCGUGAACGAAGAAGGUAUUCGUAUCGUAAAGUUCUGUCCUAUGGGAAGAUAAUGACAGUACCAUAGAAGAAAGCUCCGGCUAAAUACGUGCCAGCAGCCGCGGUAAUACGUAUGGCGCGAGCGUUGUCCGGAAUUAUUGGGCGUAAAGGGUACGCAGGCGGUUUAAUAAGUCGAAUGUUAAAGAUCGGGGCUCAACCCCGCAAAGCAUUGGAAACUGAUAAACUUGAGUAGUGGAGAGGAAUGUGGAAUUCCUAGUGUAGUGGUGAAAUACGUAGAUAUUAGGAGGAAUACCAGUAGCGAAGGCGACUUUCUGGACACAAACUGACGCUGAGGUACGAAAGCGUGGGGAGCAAACAGG
rnacentral:rRNA from 1 species